GCUCAGGAUGAACGCUGGCGGCGUGCCUAAUACAUGCAAGUAGAACGCUGAAGCUUGGUGCUUGCACCGAGCGGAUGAGUUGCGAACGGGUGAGUAACGCGUAGGUAACCUGCCUCUUAGCGGGGGAUAACUAUUGGAAACGAUAGCUAAUACCGCAUAAAAGUCGACAUUGCAUGAUGUUGACUUGAAAGGUGCAAUUGCAUCACUAAGAGAUGGACCUGCGUUGUAUUAGCUAGUUGGUGAGGUAACGGCUCACCAAGGCGACGAUACAUAGCCGACCUGAGAGGGUGAUCGGCCACACUGGGACUGAGACACGGCCCAGACUCCUACGGGAGGCAGCAGUA
rnacentral:rRNA from 1 species